rnacentral:rRNA from 1 species
ACACGUGGAUAACCUACCUAUAAGACUGGGAUAACUUCGGGAAACCGGAGCUAAUACCGGAUAAUAUUUUGAACCGCAUGGUUCAAAAGUGAAAGACGGUCUUGCUGUCACUUAUAGAUGGAUCCGCGCUGCAUUAGCUAGUUGGUAAGGUAACGGCUUACCAAGGCAACGAUGCAUAGCCGACCUGAGAGGGUGAUCGGCCACACUGGAACUGAGACACGGUCCAGACUCCUACGGGAGGCAGCAGUAGGGAAUCUUCCGCAAUGGGCGAAAGCCUGACGGAGCAACGCCGCGUGAGUGAUGAAGGUCUUCGGAUCGUAAAACUCUGUUAUUAGGGAAGAACAUAUGUGUAAGUAACUGUGCACAUCUUGACGGUACC